GAUGAAGAACGUAGCGAAAUGCGAUAAGUAAUGUGAAUUGCAGAAUUCAGUGAAUCAUCGAAUCUUUGAACGCACCUUGCGCCCUUUGGCCAUUCCGAAGGGCAUGCCUGUUUGAGUAUCAUGAACACCUCAACUCUUUAUGGUUUUCCAUGAUGAGCUUGGACUCUGGGGGUUUUGCUGGCUCACAGUCGGCUCCUCUAAAAUGAAUCAGCUUACCAGUGUUUGGUGGGUAUCAUGAGUGUGAUAACUAUCUACGCUUGUGGUUUUUCCACCAGGUAACCUUCAGCAGUGGAGGUUCGCUGGAGCUCAUAGAUGUCUCUCCUCAGUGAGGACAGCCCUUUGAAUGUUUGAUCUCAAAUCAGGUAGGACUACCCGCUGAACUUAAGCAUAUCAAUAAGCGGAGGA
rnacentral:misc_RNA from 1 species